rnacentral:rRNA from 1 species
CUGCUGCCUUCCGUAGGAGUUUGGGCCGUGUCUCAGUCCCAAUGUGGCCGGCCACCCUCUCAGGUCGGCUACUGAUCGUCGGCUUGGUGGGCCCUUACCCCGCCAACUACCUAAUCAGACGCGGGCCCAUCCCAUACCACCGGAGUUUUUCGCCCGGGGCCAUGCGGCCUCGCGCGCUUAAGCGGUAUUAGCGGUCAUUUCUAACCGUUAUCCCCCGGUAUGGGGCAGGUUACCCACGCGUUACUCACCCGUCCGCCGCUAAGUCACUCCCGCUUCCUUCCGAAAAA